rnacentral:rRNA from 1 species
GACGAACGCUGGCGGCGUGCUUAACACAUGCAAGUCGAACGGAAAGGCCCUGCUUUUGUGGGGUGCUCGAGUGGCGAACGGGUGAGUAACACGUGAGUAACCUGCCCUUGACUUUGGGAUAACUUCAGGAAACUGGGGCUAAUACCGGAUAGGAGCUCCUGCUGCAUGGUGGGGGUUGGAAAGUUUCGGCGGUUGGGGAUGGACUCGCGGCUUAUCAGCUUGUUGGUGGGGUAGUGGCUUACCAAGGCUUUGACGGGUAGCCGGCCUGAGAGGGUGACCGGCCACAUUGGGACUGAGAUACGGCCCAGAAUCCUACGGGAGGCAGCAGUGGGGAAUAUUGCACAAUGGGCGGAAGCCUGAUGCAGAAACGCCGCGUGCGGGAUGACGGCCUUCGGGUUGUAAACCGCUUUCGCCUGUGACGAAGCGUGAGUGACGGUAAUGGGUAAAGAAGCACCGGCUAACUACGU